UACAGAGGUCUCAAGCGUUGUUCGGAUUCAUUGGGCGUAAAGGGUGCGUAGGCGGCGCGGUAAGUCGGGUGUGAAAUCUCGGAGCUUAACUCCGAAACUGCAUUCGAUACUGCCGUGCUUGAGGACUGGAGAGGAGACUGGAAUUUACGGUGUAGCGGUGAAAUGCGUAGAUAUCGUAAGGAAGACCAGUGGCGAAGGCGGGUCUCUGGACAGUUCCUGACGCUCAGGCACGAAAGCCCAGGGGAGCAAACGGG
rnacentral:rRNA from 1 species